rnacentral:lncRNA from 1 species
UUGUAUGUUGAUUGAGCACUGUAGGUGCUGUGUUUGCUCAUAUUUGGUACUCCAUUAUUUUGCGAUUAGUUUUCUUGGCUGAGUCAGUGACAUGCGGACUUAGCAUCCCAUACCUCACUGUGCGACUCCCCUGUUGCUCACCCCUCUUUCCCCAUUUCAGGUGAGCCAGACGAGUAGUUAUGACUUGAUGAGUUGGGAUGUGUCAUUUUGGGAUGGAUUAUCGUUUUCAGUAUUCUAUUCGAGACUUUUAUUAAACAGUCGUGUUAUCGACUUAUGUGGAUUUAGUAUGUUUUAUCGGAUUUUUGCGCUGGUAUUUUAUAAAGAACUGGAUGUUUAUGGAAAAAGAGUUAUUUGUUGUUAAAGUGAUUUAUGGUAACAUGCCGUUCCCGAGAGAGGGUGAGACGGAUGUUACACGUGGCACGCCGUUCCCGAGAGAGGGUGAGACGGGUGUUACAGUUUUGGUAUCAGAGCGAGGUUUAGCUGACCCGGUUUUGACCCGGGGGCUGUUUAGAGUUAGAACGCUCGAGUAUUCGGAAUUUGUUUUUAAAACAAAAGUUGUUUCGGGAAUGGGAGAAUUUCUAAAAAAAAAAAAAAAAAAUGAUGACACACCUUUCUGUUGAGUAUUAAGUGUAUUGUUAGUAGCGUCCGCAUCUCCGCUAAAGCUAAUCGAGUUUCCUCCAUUUCAGAUGGGGACAAUAGUUUUCUUUGGAUUAUUAAGUUGACUUGGAGAAGUUAACUUUAUUUACCAAUUAGCCAACAUUAAAAAGAGAACUAGUGAGGACCAUAGUUUUCUUGGACUGGCAAGUUAGUGUCAGAAGUUUGUAUAAGAGUUUGCUAUGGAUAAACCAAUGUUUUGACUCAUAAGAAUGGACGUGAAGUUCGAGUGGAUGGAGGAGUGGGAGAGUAACUUCCAAAUGGUUAACUGACAUUUGACGGAAACAAGUGUUACUACGACCAAAGAUGAGAUUCCGAGAUGGUUCUACAAAGUUCAAAGACGUGAUUUUCUAUCGAGCAAGUCAGUCUAUUUUAGUCUUAUGUAUAGAGAGCACUUAAGGGAAGUGCUAAAAAGGGGUGGAGAGUAGUGUGGGCGGACCCCACACGACAACCCAAUAAUGUAUUUCGACAAAGAACAUGUUGUGAUGUUUACAACAAAGUGUAAAGAUAAGUUGUGGUAGCAAACACACAAGCCAAGUUAUGCUUAUGUAUGGAGAACACUUAAGAAAAUUAUUACAAAGGAAGUGGCAAAGAGCAGUGUGGGAGGACACAUUACGGUAAUCUACACUAUGAAUGUUUUUUUUUAAGAAUGUGGAUGUGAUAGAGUGUCAUAACAAGAGGAAGUUAUGCCAAUGGGGUUGUGCUGUAUUAUUUCCAUUGACUUCAGCGAAGUUAUUUUUACCCGAAAGGAAAAGGGUAUGGUGAAUAAAAUUUGCUAUUGAACUGCCAAAGACGAUUUACAAUAAGGACACAACUUGGAUAGUUGUAGAGCGGGCUAGGUCAAGAUGAAAGGUGUCUGGGAGGAAAAUUUUUAUAUUGUGGGUUUGGAGAAAGCCUUAAAAAUGUUGGAAUAUAAUCUUCAAUCUGACUAUAUGGCAAAGGAAUCCACUAAGGAUAUAGUGAAACGGAAAUCACUAAGGACUUUGAGAAGACAUUAUUUUGGAUUUGGAGUUUGCAUAAUGCAGGAAAGAUAUUCUGUGGCAAAUGAGCAAUUACGUGGAAAAAGUAAUACUUCGAAAGAAUAAGGAUUUCAAAAAGAGUGUUAGGAAAACACUACGUGAGUUUUACAAGUUUGUAGCUGGGAGUUAGAAUUGCAGAGUGAGUGCAUCAGAAUCGUUGUGGACCUUAAUCAACGUGUCACAUUAAACCAUAACGGGCAUGGUUAGAAUCGUAUUUCGGAGCAUUGUUAAAUAAAGACGUAUGUUUGUGCAUCAGUCAUUUUUACAAAGACAAGGUAAUGGAAAAACCGUUGUUGAAAAUUUACUUGGAAAUUUGGAAGAUGAGUUUUCUGUUUAACUCAAGAAGGUUAAGCAACUAUGACAUUAGAUGUUCCAUGUGGUCAUAUUGCUUGACAAUGGAAUCAACCAUAUUCUAGGGGAAGAGUAGGUUAUUAAUUAAAUCAAGAGCUAAAUAUGAGAUUGCAAAGAGGGACUCCACACUGCGGAGAAUAGUAUGUUCAUGUAUAAGAACCGAAUUAGGGUGCCAGAUGCCAAAGGUCUGAAGGAUGAGAUCUUGGCACAAGCUCACAGUUCACGGUUUUCGGUUCACCCUGGAACGACUAAGAUGUAUCAUGACCUAAAGCGGUAUUAUAAUUGGACCAAUAUGGAACGUGAUGUGGCUGCUUGGGUAUCAAAGUGUCAGAUUUGUCAGCAAGUAAAAACAGAGUAUAAAGUUCCAAGUGGUUUACUCCAGAAUUUACCCUUAUCCUGGAACGACUAUGAUAACAAUGGAUUUUGUCACCGGACUUCCAACAACCACCAGGUGGUAAGAAUGUCAUUUGGGUGAUCGUGGACCGACUCACCAAGACAGCUCAUUUCUUGGCCAUCAAGAAAUUAGACAAUGCAGAUGUCUUAGCGCAGCUGUACCUAGACAAGAUUGUUUCUAAGCAUGGGGUGCCAAUAAGCUUAGUGUCGGAUCGGGAUCCAAAAAUUUACAUAUACUUUCUAGCAAGCUUUACAGAAGGCCUUGGGAACAAAGGUACGCCUUAGUACAACUUAUCAUCCCCAGACUGAGGGGCAGUCUGAGAGGACAAUUCAAACGCUAGAGGACAUGUUGAGAACAUGCGUACUCGACUGGGAGGAGAACUGGCUCGAGUACCUACCCUUGGUAGAAUUUGUGUACAAUAACACUUAUCACUCCAGCAUGGGAAUGGCACCAUCUGAGGCUCUUUAUGGUAGGCCGUGUCGUACCCCACUUUGUUGGACCGAAGUGGAGGAGUUCUGUGACUUAGAAUCUAUAAUGGUUCAAGAAGCGGUAAAACAAGUUGAGAUGCUCAAGAGUCGACUGAAGGAAGCACAUGACCGUCAGAAGAGCUAUGCAGACAAGCGCAGGAACGAUUUAGAGUUCGAGGUGGGUGACUUAGUAUACCUUAAAAUGAGGACAUUUCAGGAAGCGCUAAGACUCGAAAACUAAAGAAGCUUAAGCCGAGGUCCCAUGUACCGUAUCCUAUUGUUGAGCGGAUUGGAGCAGUAGCCUACCGUUUGGGUUUAUCGACAGAGUUGUCAGACUUCCAUGAUGUGUUCCACGUGUCAGUUUUGAGAAAGGUUGUCAGAGAGCCAAAGCUUAUUUUGCAGCAUCCGCCUAGGGUUCUCCGUAAGAAUCUGACAGUACCGAGUCGACCAGUUGAGAUUUUGGAGCGGCAAGAACAAGUCGUACAGGGAAAGAUGGUGGUAAAGAUCAGGGUUCGUUGGGAGAGUGACGGGAUCCAGGAGGAAACUUGGGAGUCCGAAGAUGAGAUGAGGUCAGACUACCCAGAGCUGUUUUGGAUGAGAAUGAGCAUGCGAAUGAGGAUUUGAAUUCGAGGACGAAUUCCUUAUUAGUGGGGAAGAAUUGUAACAACCCAUUUAAGGCCCAAGGCCCAUCCGCUGAAGCCCAUGAGGCCCAAUUCUUUGACCUAGGUAUCCUCCUCUAUUCCUCUAUAAAUACCCUCCUCUAUCUCUCAUUUUUCCCACAACUCUCCUGAGUAGUAUUACUCUGCAGAAAUCUCGCCAGAGUUAGCACCACCGAACCGCCGUCCACCCUCUCCCGUAACCGAGCCGACCAAGCCAACGGAAAGCUUAGUCGAAGGUAACUCCUAAAACCGAGUUUUAAAGGUUUUAGUUUCGGGCCGUUUAGUAUUUUCAAGAUUUCUCCCUAACCGCUUCGAAUCUCGCAAAACCAAGGGUACCAUCGGAUUCGUGACGACGAGAAGAAGCCGGAGACACCAAGCGCUGCCACCGCCGACGAGCCACGCGCCGCCACGCGCCGGAAGAAGGAAGCGCGUGACGCCCACGCGCAGCCACGCGCCGCCGAGUCCUCGGAGCGUGGAGCUCACGCGCCGCCGCCGGUGACCGGAACCGCCGCUGUUCUCCGGAGCCGCCGUGACCGGCAGCCGUCCGUUCGCCGCCGGGAUUCCGCCGCCGCGUCGUCGCCGGACCGCCGUCGCCGGACCGCCGUCGCCGCCGGUGACUUUUCCGGUAAGGUUCGCCGGAUUUGUUGCCGCCGACCGGUUUGGGUUAACCGGUCGGUUUAAAUUGAUUUAAUCCGGUUGAAAUCGAUUUGGUCUUGGUUUAGGUUAACCGGUUGGUUUAAAUCAAUUGAUUCUCGGUUUAGGAUAACCGUUCAGUUUAAAUCAAUUGAUUCUCGGUUAAAGUUAACCGGUCGGUUUAAAUCAAUUGAUUUCUGGUUUAAGUUAACCGGAUCGAUUUGACUGGUUGGACCGUUGACCGUUGACUGUUGACCGUUGACUUUGACCGUUGACCGUUGACUUUGACCAGUUGACCCGAAAACCGUUUUUCUUCGUUCGGACGCCGUUUGACUCGAUUUUUCGUUCCGGUUUCAGAUCCGGAGUCGGUUUAUUCAUUCGAGGUCCAGAAGUCGUAGGUUCAGCAUUGCUAAGGUGAGGGCUAUUUCCAAACCGCUGUGCUUUGUUCGAGAAUCCUAAUUUACGAAUAGUGCAGCACUGAAUGUGAUGUGUUUCAAUGAUCGAGUCUAGUUAGUUUGAUUGCUUAAAUUGGACAUAGGAAGAUAGAUGAUUAAACCCAUUUGUUUGUCACAUACUGUUAAAUGUUUUUUUGUUAUAAAUAUAUAUAUAUAUAUAUAUAUAUUAUAUGAGAUAUAGCGGAUACAGAUAAAGGAACUUCUGUAUGGUGCCGCAUUGUUUGAGGUAGGGGUGAGGGCAAUGCAUAAUCGAUCUGUUGCCCUCCACCUUAAGAUCGAUAAGCGUCCCAGGGGCGGUGUGAGUGGGCACUAUCCCAUGAGUUACCUCUGUGUGAGGGUGUGAUUGGGCACUAUCCCAUAAAUGAUCUCGUUGAGGGUGUGAUUGGCCACUAUCCCUCCGUAGGAAAAUUGUAUGUUGAUUGAGCACUGUAGGUGCUGUGUUUGCUCAUAUUUUGUACUCCAUUAUUUUGCGAUUAGUUUUCUUGGCUGAGUCAGUGACAUGCGGACUUAGCAUCCCAUACCUCACUGAGCGACUCCCCUGUUGCUCACCCCUCUUUCCCCAUUUCAGGUGAGCCAGACGAGUAGUUAUGACUUGAUGAGUUGGGAUGUGU